rnacentral:lncRNA from 1 species
GACAUGUAGAUUUGGACAUGUAGUUCAAAUACUUAAGAGUAUAAAAGUCAAAGGUAUGUAUAGUCAGUUUCCGAUAUCUUAUUUGUUUAGCAUGACGUGAAAACUUGAUAUGCGUCUAAAGUCUAUUAUGUGACUUACAUGACUUAACUUGACAGAUUUAAGUUGCUUGAAGCAUAUGCAAUUCUUGGUCCUGAAAUACCACAUCCUAAGUACAAUUUGUGUACAUAUGUAUCUUGCUAUAACUAUAANNN